GCCGAGGUGGUGGAAUAGGUAGACACGCUGAUUUGAGGUGUCAGUGGGCGAAAGCCCGUAGGGGUUCGAGUCCCCUCCUCGGCACCA
rnacentral:tRNA from 1 species